GAUGAACGCUAGCGGCAGGCCUAAUACAUGCAAGUCGAACGAGAUUUAAGGGAAGUAGCAAUACGGAACUUAAUGACAGUGGCGCACGGGUGCGUACCGCGUAUGCAACCUACCUUGAUCAGGGGGAUAGCACGAAGAAAUUCGGAUUAACACCGCAUACCAACAUUAGAGCGGCAUCACUCCAUGUUUAAAUCUUUAUAGGAUCAAGAUGGACAUGCGUGACAUCAGCUAGUUGGUGGGGUAACGGCUCACCAAGGCGACGAUGUCUAGGGGAUCUGAGAGGAUGACCCCCCACGCUGGUACUGAGACACGGACCAGACUCCUACGGGAGGCAGCAGUAAGGAAUAUUGGUCAAUGGGGGCAACCCUGAACCAGCCAUGCCGCGUGCAGGAAGACGGCCCUACGGGUUGUAAACUGCUUUUAUACGGGAAUAAACCCCACUACGUGUAGUGGGCUGAAUGUACUAUAAGAAUAAGGAUCGGCUAACUCCGUGCCAGCCGCCGCUGUAACAC
rnacentral:rRNA from 1 species